AUUCAGCUGAUGAAUCCGAAAUAGGACGAAACGCGUGUCCUGGUU
rnacentral:hammerhead_ribozyme from 1 species